rnacentral:rRNA from 1 species
CCUACGGGAGGCAGCAGUGGGAAAUAUUGCACAAUGGGGGAAACCCUGAUGCAGCAACGCCGCGUGAGUGAUGACGGUCUUCGGAUUGUAAAGCUCUGUCUUUAGGGACGAUAAUGACGGUACCUAAGGAGGAAGCCACGGCUAACUACGUGCCAGCAGCCGCGGUAAU